AUUGAACGCUGGCGGCAUGCUUUACACAUGCAAGUCGAACGGUAACAGGCCUUCGGGUGCUGACGAGUGGCGAACGGGUGAGUAAUGCAUCGGAACGUACCCAGAGGUGGGGGAUAACGCAGCGAAAGCUGUGCUAAUACCGCAUGUGAUCUGAGGAUGAAAGCGGGGGACCGAGCAGCAAUGUUUGGCCUCGCGCCUUUGGAGCGGCCGAUGUCGGAUUAGCUAGUUGGUGGGGUAAAGGCCUACCAAGGCGACGAUCCGUAGCUGGUCUGAGAGGACGACCAGCCACACUGGGAUUGAGACACGGCCCAGACUCCUACGGGCGGCAGCAGUGGGGAAUUUUGGACAAUGGGCGCAAGCCUGAUCCAGCAAUGCCGCGUGCGGGAAGAAGGCCUUCGGGUUGUAAACCGCUUUUGGCAGGAACGAAACGGUGUCCGCUAAUACCGGGCGCUAAUGACGGUACCUGCAGAAUAAGCACCGGCUAACUACGUG
rnacentral:rRNA from 1 species